rnacentral:lncRNA from 1 species
CUUCCAACUCCUGCCGUAGAGCUUCAUAAGCAAUCUCAUCCAAGAAGUCGUCGGCUUCAUAGACAGCGUCUUUAUACUCGGCCAGCCAAUCCCGCACAGCUUUAUUUGUUAUCUGCUUCUCCUCAGCAUCGUCAAGCAGCCCACCGCCAGAUAUCAUUGUUGUCUUCAACCUCUUCAGCGGCCUAUCGUCAAACAAAAAUCUGGGAUUCAGCGUUUACUAGAAACUUCUUCAACAAUCUUUUGAAUUAAUUUUGAUUCAUGCCUGUGCAUAGAAAAAGAAAGUCAUCACUCAUGGAUGAAAGAUAAUCUUUUGAAUUUCAUGCAAAUUUAAAAUACAAAACGUAAUAAGAGUAAAAGUUAUAAGCAUUUGCUAUCGAUAUAGGGAAAGAAAAGAAGUACCCAUUUGCGAUACUGUGAGGAUCCAGCCCAGAUAAAUUUGCAGCCUCCACAAGAGCUUUUCUCCACUUUUGGACCUUCUCCAUUUCUUCCUUAAAACGUUCUUCAUGUCUAUAUCAAAGGCUUCAGCAAAACUCCCCGUCUGUUUUCUAAUAUCAGAAGGAUCGAUAUCAUAGAAAACAGGUAGAACAAUCUGGCCAGUUGUGUGUCUGCAAUCAAGAAUCUUUUCAAGUUCAUCAAGACACCAAGUGGAGGAAGCAUAGCCCUUAGAGAAAACCACUAUAGAAAUCAUGGAUUCUUGAAUUGCUUUGAGGAGUUGCAAGGAGAUUUCUUCACCUCUACGAAGUUCGUCGUCAUCUCGAAAUGCAUGGAUUCUUGCAUGGUGUAAAGCAGUGUAAAGAUGAUCCGUAAAAUUUUUGCGAGUAUCUUCACCUCUAAAACUUAGAAAUACAUAGUAACCCCAACCAGGUCUAGACAAAGAAGAAGAAGAAGAAGACGCCAUGAACAUCUAGUAAGGGUUGCUGGCAGUGGCGGAGCCACGUAGGAGCAAAAGGAGGCAAUUGCCCUCUUAAUUUUUUUAAAAAAAUAUUUGACCCAUACUGACCCAUCAAGGAUAAGAGAAAGACGAAAAAUCUAAAGUAUUUUUACUGCACAUAUUUGAAUGCAAUUUCUUUGGAAUUAGAGGAACCUGAUACGGAGUACAUUAGAAUAUUAAUAUAAUAAUAUGGUGAGGGGUUGAUAUUGUUGACUUGUGUCUUAAUAUAAUAAAUAAUAGAUAUAUAUAUAAUAUAUAUGCAACACCCCAGCUUAUUUCCCCAAACUUUUCCUUUUUCUUUUUUUUUUCCCGCUAACUAUUCAAGAGCUUUUUUACUCUUUUUUAGUUGCUCUCUUCCUUAUACAAUUUUUUUUUUCUCAGUUAGGCAACUUUAGGUAACAAAUUUUCAUUUUUUUUAUUCAUUUUAUUAUUUAAUUUUAGUUUUAUUUUUUAUAAUUAGUUAUUGAAAAUGUUAGGGUUUAUAAUAAUUUAGAGGUUUUGAUAUAUAUAAUAUUUUGAAUCAAUUAAAGAUAAAUAGUAGUGGAUUAGACUGCAAGAUUUUGAACAAUAGGUAUUUAUUUGAUUGUUUUGAACUAAUUAAAGGUUAUAUCAUUUCUAAUUGAAUUGAUUAUGAUAUGGAACUAAACUUUUUCAUGAGAUGAACAAUCAAACAUUCAAAUUGUUAUCAACAAGUAAAGAUUGAUAUUUACAAAAUUAAAAUUGUUUUAGCUUGAGAUUGGUCCUUUUUAUGAUGUUAAUUUCCUUUUUAUGAUUAAAUAAUUCAUAUUUUAUUUGUUUUUUUUUCUCUUUUUUGUUUUCGUCAGGCAAUUUGUGUUUUGCUGGAGAAGAAUUAACACGUGCGUACAAGCUUGAUUUUAAUCAGUGCAUGAUGGUUUUUUCUUAAAAAAGAAAAGAAAAAAACAUUUUUUUUUGUUUUUAAAAAUAAUUUAUCAUGAUAAAUUUAGACUAUCAAUCCUGAUCCAUAUCCAUGCAUUAUAUAUAGCAUGCUACAUGGUAAUGAGGUGUGAAAUGGAUUUUGAUGAAUUAAUGUGUAUUUUACUAUGAAUUUUAUAUGAAAAGUUUACAAUUAUUAUGUAACUCAACUGAAUUUUGUUAUUAUGAAAACCCAAAGAAAACAAUUAUAAUGUAAGUUUUUUUUAUUUUAAAAGUAUUUUUUUAAAUUAAUUUUGCUUUAUAUGAGUUAAUAUAUUUGUUUCAAAUUAAUUUCUAAUGCAAGUCUAUAUAAUAUAAUAUUUAUUAAUAAUUUAUCCCCUCAUUUAUAAAAUUCUGGCUCCUACCACUGGUUGCUGGCUUGCUGCAGGUAGGAGAGAGAGGAUCGAGGGGCAGUAAACUGUCACCUUCCCUCUUUCUUUUGAAGAGCCCAAUAUUUAAGUAUUGCUUUACAUAUGGAUGUUCGGUAAAACAAAAUUAAAAAAUUAUAUUUUUAAAUUAUUUUAAUAUUUAUAUGUAAAAAAUAAUUUUUAAAAAAUAAAAAAUAUUAUUUUAAUAUAUUUUUAAAUAAAAAAUAUUUAAAAAAAGCUACUAUAUUUUUAAAUAAAAAAACCUAGCACAUCUCUUUUAAUAUAGUUAAUCUCUAGUUUUCAUACAAUUAAAUGAGAUCAAAAUUGUUAAGGUCCUUUCACUUUCAUAACCUCUCUGCAUUUGGCUAUAUAUAUUCAAAGGUUUAAGCCGAAAUGAAUUCUAUUAGUAAAUUUGUAUCGAAUUACUUGAUUGUAUUAUGAAUUAACAUGUUUGGUAUCGAUCAAUGUCAAUAGAAAGAAUUGGGUUGCGGGUGCUAGGAAAAUGGAGCUAGGCAUGUUGGAAUAACUUGCUUUAUUUGCCAAGAGAUCCCAUCGUCUAAAAAGUGGGUUUCAUUGGAAUAACUUUUAUUAUAUAUGCCAAUCUUUCUUUUCACGUGAUGUGCUCAUGAUGCAGAAGAACACUUCACUUCAUGUCUUCUCUCCUCUUCUCUUAUCACUUUUCAUUGACAAAUAAAUUAUAAAUUUGUUGAUGACCAUUGCUAUGAAUAUUAUAAAAAACAAAGAAUUGUGGAGCAAAUUACAAUAGAAAAAAUCAUUAUAUUAGAAAUUAAGUACAGGUUAAAUUGCGAAAACAAAAAUAUUCGUAAUCAGUAUUAAGUAUACUAAUUGUUUGAUUUGAAUAAUAAGAUGCAAUCCAAUAGAAUUAGGUCUGAUUGGUUUUAUCUUUCACAUGUGGAAAUAACCUUUUUUUAAAUAUAAAUGGAUUAUUUUAUUCCAAAUUAAACCUCUUUAUAAAUGUAAUUAUUAAACUUCAACUAUUAAUGAUUUUUUAAAUAAAAUAUAGUUAAGAAAACAUUUUUAAAACAUGUUCAACAAUCAAAUGUGUUUGUUUUUUUAGCGGCUUUUGCUUUUAACACAAAUAACAAAAACAAGAUAUUUGGUUACAUAUGAAUCAUAGUUUUGUGAUUGUUAGACCCAUUACAAUUUACGGUCCAACCAUAAGCUACAAAUUUAGUAUUUUCUCAUCCACCGACAACUUCACCAAAAAACAAUUUAAGUUAUUUUACAAUUACUAAGGUACCCAAUCAUCUUUCUCAUCCUCUCCACCUUCACUUUUAAAAUAUUACAACAUCAGGUCAUCAACUUUCAUCAUAAUUUUAAUAAAAUAUCUUUUAUUAAACAACAUUUUUAAUUAUAAUUAUAAUUAAAUAUUUAUUAAAAUUAAAAUCAACUAUCAUUAAUUUUUAGAACUGAUGAUUCUAGUCAUGAACUCAGGGCUAAUCUCAUAAAAAUCAAACUAUUAGAAAUAACAAAGCAAUACUAAAAAAAUAAUAAAAAUAUAAUAUCAACUUAAAAAAAAACCAAGUAAACUUGAACGAAUUUAUUAAACCUGGUUUAACUCUAAAACUUGCAACCCGUGUAAUACUAGGCUCAGGAUCAAUAAAAAAAAAUUUCUAAAGCAAAAAAUAGAGAUACAAUUUUAUAUAUAUAAAAAAAAAACCUAAGGAUGAAAUUGAAAAAAUAAAUAACAAUCAAAAGAAUAAAAAUCAAAUUUGAAAGAUUAAAAAAUCAUGGGAUGAAAUUAAAAAAGAGAGUAAUUUGAUAGAUUUUCUUAAGAAUUUUCUUAAUUUGAAAACAAUUUGUAAAUUAAAAAAACAUAGAGGAUUAAAAGGUUUAAUGGUUAAAAGAAAGUUUUAUCACAAUCAUGGUAAACAGUAAUUUCUUUAAGAGAUUUAGUUUUUUUAUUAAAUUUAAUUAAUAAAAAUACGGUACCAUUCUCUUUAACCAUGCCUUUGAUUUUAGAUUAAAAAAAAACAAUAACUAUAAUUAUAAGAGAAGAAAUAUUUUCUUAAAAAUUAAGAGAAAUGAGGAAAUUAAUUUGUUAAUGUAUUUAAAUAAGAUCAUAUAUUCUCUUACAAAUUAGAAAUAAUGAAUCUAGUUUACAUAGUACUUUCUUGACAAAAAAUCAAAGCAAUAUGAAUGCUUGUAUAUACGAAUUACAUACAUAAAAAAUAAAGAAAACAAAAUAAAAUCAUUUCACACCAUGCCAGAGUCACAUUUUUAAUACCAAUGUUUCUCACUCUUAAAAUUUUUACUCUCAAUAUAAUUUUAGUCGGUGUAAAAAAAAAAAAAAACAGAGCAAUACCAUGAGUCGACUCAACCCGACGCCUUGAAGGAAGCCGUGACCGAGUUCAUUUCCACCCUUAUUAUUGUCUUUGCCAAUGAAGGGUCCGGCAUGGCCUUCGCUAAGGUCACCGACAGUGCUGCCAACAUACGCGCUAGACUCAUCGUUGCAGCCAUCGCCCAUGCUUUCUCCCUUUUUGUUUUUGUUUCUGUUGGUGUCAACAUCUCUAAAAAGUAUUGGUUUUUGGCAGCAGCAACCAAAAACCCAGUUCCAAAAAACGACCCCAGCUGCAAGAUUCAUCCUUUUUCCCCAUCAUCCCCGCAUGCUAGAACAUUCCAAAAUCCCAUCAGCCUCAAAAACACAACUGUUUUUCUUUUCUUUAAAAAUAAAAAACUAAAGAAAAGAGACGCAACUUGCUCGUAGAGUUAGGCCAAUCACAAAAAAAAAUAUCCCAUCUCCUCAUUUUACUUGCUAAAGAAGAAUUCAGGAAAGGAAAGAAAAGAGAUAUCAAAUGACAAUAAUAGCAAACAGCCCUCUGUUCCUUUCUACCAGCCUUGCAAAAGUAGUUUACAAGGGGACCAACAACUCCAUCGCUGGAAGUAAUUUUCACCACCUGCCCCUUCUGCAGUCCAUAGUAUCGCACAAUGGCAUCCGAUUCUAGCAAUCUUCGGCUGUAGAACAUGCAUGGUAAUGUUCACCAGCAGGUCAGUGAUCUGAAUGCAAAUCAAACCGUGAAGUGAUUGUCGAAAGCUUAAAUGGGUAACCUUUCUAAAUAUAAGCUACAAGGACAAUAUGAUACAUAAAGAUAAAAUGAUAAUUUAUACACAUUUCCAUUAGCUUUGAUGGAGAAAGAGCAUUCAAAAAGAUCACCGCUAGUAUCACAGACAUGAUCAAAAAGUGACUAGCAUGACCUCUUGUGGCUAGAAAUUAGCAUCGUUCUUUAAAAUGUCUGGCCACCCAAAGUUCUUUCUAAUUGUCUUACAACAAAUCUGCAGUAUGAAAAUUUAUUUAGACAACAGGGGGGUGUACUUGAAAAACCUCCACUUUGAAUGGAAACUUCUCCGGCUCUUUCUUGGCAAAGUAGUUCAUUUUGCUUUGCAAAAUCAGUAUUGUCAAAGAACCAUCUCAAUUCAAUAGCUUAAGCUAUUAGGUGAGGUCCCAGGAUAUGAUUUAUAUUAUUCUCUAACACACCCUCUCAAGUGAAAGCUCUUUGGGCUUGAAACUUGCACAGACCCACAUUACCUUGUGCUUAUUUUUUUUAUCAAAUAAAUGGGGAUAGUGAGAUUCGAACUCGUGACCGCUUGAUCGUCAAGGCUCUGAUACCAUGUCAAAAAACCAUCUCAACUCAAUAGCUUAAGCUAUUAUGUGAAUUUCUAGAAUAUGAUUUAUAUUAUUCUUUAACAAGUAUCAACCCUUGUAUACUCUCUUUGCUAAGAAUUUGACCAUAUACAGCCCUGAUAUUUGCUGUUCUAAUUUCAUCAGUUCCCAUGAAGAUGACCAGGUUCUGCAGACCAAGUUAAAAAAAAUAAAAUUAUGACUAGGAUUUCCAUACAAAUUUCCAUAUAAUUUUUAUUAAGAAAUAUAGACCGGUAAAGAGGUGAAUGAGCCUAUCUCAUAUCUUACCAUUAAAACAUAAUUUGCUCCUACUCGACCCAUACCUAUCACCCUAAACCCAUAUCCAUACCUGCCUAUGUAAUAACCAGCCCAUGUCGAAAAAAAAAUAGCUUUUCAGUAAUGUUCAUUUUAGUCCAUGAGUUUUUAAAACGUUUUUUAGUCAUAUAUUUUUUCUAAGAAAACAUUUUAUUUGUUAGAAUUUUUUUUCAAUUUUUUUUACAAUAAAAAAUGCAGACAUUUAGUUUCAAAUUAUUGGUUUGGAAUGCAUCCAACAAAGUUAAUGUUUUAACAUGUAAUUAAGAUAUACUCAAAAUUAUUUUAAAAGUAAUUUAAUUUAAAAUUAUAUAUUUAAGAAAACUAAAUAGAAGAUGAGCUUCACUUUCAAGCUAUAUAAACUUAUUAAAUUAACCAAAAUUUAUUGUAAAUUAAAUUAAAUAUCUCAAGAAAAAAUAGCUAUUAAGAUAUAGUAAAAGCAUUGUCACAGUUGUUUUGUAAUAUUGACAGGAGUAUCUGAUUUUGAAAAUGACCAAAGGAUAAAACAAAGGAAGCAUCUGACUAUGAAAACAGAGUCGAAGGAUUGCAGUCAGCUUCGAUGACCGGAGAACAGACAACGGCAGGAACCAACGAUGCCAAAACCCAAACGAUACAAGGGAUGGGGGGACAACAUUUCUAUUAAAUCAAGAGCCAAAAAGCAGCAGCACCGUGGAACACCAAAAGACUAAAAGGCAGCAACAAAGCCAUAGAACACCAAAAGGCUUGAAGAUCAAAUUACAAAUAUUGUAGGCAAGCAGUUUCACGUCCAAUACAAGCAGUUUCAUUUCUAUGAAAUUGCUCUCGCACACCAUUCUUUUCUUCAGCUACAAUUAUUUAUCUGCUGCUAUUAUAGAUGAACAUCAGACAAUCCUCACUAUUGCUCUACCAAUUUCUUGUAACUCUUCAUCAGCGUUGGCAUUUGUAGCUUUACCCUGGCCAUGCAAGUUUUCUUCAUUGUUAACUCCAGUGAAUUUGUGCAUAAUCACCUUCAUUGGGUGCAAAUCUUGUUUUCCGUUACAUUUGUCUUCCACACUUGUUGAGACAUCUCUCUCUCUAGUGGCUAAAUCUAGCAAAAUUUCGUAUGUUGCGCUGCUUAUUUAUGCAAGCUCCUUGUUAAACUUAACUACAGUGCAAGUUUAUGUUUUAUUCCUCUUUGAAUUUAGGAUUUGUAGUUUUCUCCGCAAAAAAAAAAAAAACCCAGUAAUACUGGUAUCACACCUGUAUUGUUUCCUAUACUCUCACCCAGGGAGAUGAAGGCCGCCACAACCUUACAUAGCUUUCCAUCUUUCUGAAAUUUGCCGUAAAAUUUCCUGAUCAACUUUACAUUGAUUUAUGUAAAUUGCCUGCUUGAACUUCGACUCUUGAAUACAAAAGCACAAAAGAAAUUGAAAAGGAGAGCUAAACACACACAUCCAAGUAUAAAUGAGUGGCACAACACAAAUGAUAAAUUUUGCUAGAUUUAACUAAGAGAGAGAGAGACAAAGAUUGUUCAACAAGUGCAAUAAGUUUAUUCAAGGACAAAUAGAAGGAAAACAAGAUCUGUACAAAUUCACCAGAAUCAUCAAUGCAGAGAACUUGCACAACUUUAGAUAAACAGGGCAAAAUCAUUAAGUGCCUGCUCUCUUGAGUGACAUUGGCAACUUUCACUUGCUUCUGAAUUUUGAUUCCAAAACACGGAUGCUUCCUUGUUAUGAACUAUGGUUAUGUUCACUUGCUUCUGAAGGCUUGGGUUGUGGGUUUCUCAUGUCAAUUGAAGCAAUUCCAAGUAAAUCCAAAGAGCAUUGCAGUGGCACAAAAGCCGGCUUGUGGUUGCUGAUUUAUUUGCUGAUAAUCCGUAACAAGCAAUGGAUUUUCGUUGCUGAUUUUUCAAUUAUCAGCUUCUUUUUUAUUUAAUUUUUUGUUUUUAAUAAUUCAUAUCACUUGUUUUAGAAGCCAGUAACCCUUUAAUUGCUAAGCCGGUCAUCUAAUUUAAGAACUUAGCCAAUAGCCAUUCCACUUCUUCUUCCUCUUUCCUUCGUAGAUCCAAACGAACAUAAUUUAUUACAUCUGAAAUCUCAUGGAAAAAUUUAAUUAAUUUAUUUAUGAAACAAGCACGAAAUCCAAAUAUCCCUCUCUCAGAUCAAUGGUUUACGAAUGGUCCGUAAAGAUUUAAAUCCCUAUUUUUCCUUUGAAAUUCCGUAUCUGAUGAAAGAAUUUGCUUUGCUUCUUAAUAAUUUUACCAAAAUGAUCUCUCUGUAUGUAUGCAAGUUAACUAGAGAGCGCAAAUGGCGGAUUAUAUGAAAAUGAUCAAUUAUUUGUCCUGAACAACAGUCUCCACAAUGGAAGGUGUCACGGGGUCUUUUUUUCACUCAAAUUUUCAACCCAAUGCGAAGAAAAUUUGUAUUUCAACAUCCAACAAAUAAAAACAUACAACUUUCUAGAACAAUAUCUGUAUUUCAUUAAUCCAAACUUAUGAGCCGCCCUUGCUUGUAGAGGAAAUUUGGAUCAGAAUGCUGCAAAGAAACAAUGGAGGAUUUAGACCAAGAGCAUGAAAAGGAUAUGUAAAAAUCACAAAUAGCUACGUAAUGAUAUUUGAAAAACAAUCUUGUUUUGUGAAAAUGGGCAAUUGGUAAUACUGACAUGAAAAUGCAAAGAAUUAAUAAUGGUGGAGAAAUACAGAGUAACUGAGAAAGAACAUCAAAUGGAAAAGCUCACAAUGAGUCAUAGCUGAGGGAGCAAGCAGAUCAAUUUUAUCCUGUGCAUAUCGUUCUGGCAAGAAGGAAGGGUGACAGAGCCUUCAUGAACUGUAAGUAGAAAGAUGGAUUUGGAUCCUGCCAAAAAUAAACAUAGAAUUAAUAGUGGAACAUGACAAAUUUUAACUGAAAUUGCCUUUGAUUACUGAAAAGAAAAUAAACUAUUUAGGAGCAAUACCUCAAAAAAUAUGUUGGACGAUUGAAAGAAAAGCUACUUUUUUGCCCCGCUAAUACUUAGGACACAUGCGAAUUUCAAGAAAAGAAAGGGAGGAGGGCAACUCUUCUUCUGGCAUUGACUCAAGCAUUGGGCAGUUACUUAUUUUCAAUUCUCUAAGAGAGGUGAGGUGUUGAAGCCCCUUGUAGUCAAGAGAUUUCAGGUGUUCUAGGGAAGAGAUUUCAAGAGAUGUAAGACUUGAGGGCAGCAGCAUCUCUUCAGGGAAGGAUUCAACAUUUUCGUCCCUACCAAUUUCAAAGUGUGAAAGAGAAGGGAGAUUUUGCAAGCCCCAUUGCAUGCGGCCUGCAAUGAGUUUGUUGCAAUUACGAAUCACAAGUGAUUGUAAUGUGGAGGGAAAACCCCCUUCUAGACACAACUCAACUUCUGAACAACCAUAUAUUGCCAAAUGGAAAAGGGAUGGGAGGAGGGAAUGCAUACUCUCAGGCAACUGCUUCAGGUUGCUGCAAUCAUCCAACACAAGUCGUGUCAAGACUGGAGCAGGUAACCCUCCUUUGGGAAAUGAAACUAAUUUAGGGCACGUUUCGAUUAACAAAGAAUGGAGAGAGGUGAGAUCAUUGAGAGGUCUUUCAUGUGCACAUAGUGUUUCGAGAACUGGACAGUCAGAGAUAGAAAGACAUUUUAACUGGGGGACCAAGUCCAGGGCGACGCCUUUGAGAGAAGCGCAGCCGUAGAUUCUAAUUUCCCCUAAAUCAGAGGGUGAACAACCCAUUUGAUCAAUUUCCUCGUGUAGGGACUCCAGGGAGUGGAAUCCAGAAACAUCGAGCGAGUGCAACCUAGGAAACCUAGGAAGUGGAGUCGCGAGCUGCCUACAUCCCUCAAUUCUAAGUCUUGUUACACGUGGAAGGUUGUGACCAGGUAGGGCCUUUGUAAGGUUGGAGCAUCUCUUGAUUGAAAGAAACUCAAGAAGAGGGAAGGCUUCCCGGCUGCCUUCGUCUGAAAUCCACUCGCGCCACUUUGGCAUUUUUGUAAAAGAUAAUAUUUUGAGGGAUUCAAAUGGCUUCUUCAUAAUAGUACAAUUCCCAUAGAACCCGGAGUCCACAGUCUCAACUUUAUCGAAUGCUUCAAUUGAGAGACGCUCUAAAGAAGCUAAUUGCCCGAGCGGUGGUAAGGAGGUGCAGUUUGUACAUCUACUGAGCUUCAAGGACACUAUAUUUGAGAAAGAGGACUCUCCUACCCACUCCGGAAACCUUACACCUCCAUAACCAUCAAUCUCAAGAUCCUUCACAUUUCUGUUUGGCUCUAAUUUCUCAAGUGUAACAAACUCAAGAUCCUUCACAUUUCUGUUUGGCUCUAAUUUCUCAAGUGUGCUUGUUACGUGUUGCGGGUCAUGAGUGUCACCAUCCCAUGUAAACCUCAGCUUAUCAAGGUGCUUUUUACCUUUCAAAUUUGCCUCACCAGCAUCCCGAGCAUCCACCACAUUUUGAAGGUUCCUAAUAUGAAGUUCUCCCCGUAGAUGUCGUAGCUUUCCCAAUUCUUUAAUGCUAGUCUCACUCUGUCUUCCCACGAAAAAGGCAGUCAACGUUUGGAGCUUUGUCAGUUGACCCACAUGUGGUGGCAUCUCUUUCAAAGGCGUGCCUUUGAUGUUAAGAUACCGCAAGUUGAUUAACCUUUCCAGAGAUUCAGGCAACCUUUCGAUUCUUGUUCCUUCAAGAUUCAGAUGUCGUAAAUGCUUCAAAUUUCCAAGAUCAGGUAGACUAGCAAGUUGUUGGCAAUAUUUCAAGAUCAACGUUUGCAAAUUGAGAAGAGCACUCACUUCUUCAGGCAACGUUACUAAAUCUGACCGAGAGAGAUCCAAAUACCGCAAAUGCUUCAACUUGCUAGUUGAACAAAACUUCAAAGUUGCAUCUCUACAACCAGUCAUGAAUAGCACUCGUAGGCGCCCAAGUGUUGACUGAAAGAUCUCAUUAUAAAUUUCGGGAGGACACCCAAAUAGCGUGGAAAAGUUUGGAAUGUGCGUAGAAGUUGGGCUUCACGGAUGUUUUCUAAUUUUGUGCUUGAAAAACCGCCUCCCGUAUAUACUACGAGUGAUAAAUGUCGAGUCCUGCUGCUGGCCUUGGAAGAAUUAUUUUCCCCCAACCUGGAGCUGAAGCAAAUUUGACCGGACACAUGGGUAGCCAAGUCAUGCAUGAGAUCGUGCAUCACAAAUGAUGAGGGAGAGGCACUUGAUUGCUGGAAAAAUGACCUUGACAAGAGAUCAUCAAAGCACUCAGCACCUGCUUUUUCCAUCUCAUCAUCCACGGAGCCGACUAAGAAGCCCUCUGCCAUCCACAGGAGCACUAAUUCAUCCUUUUGAAAUGAAUAGUCUUUUGGAAAUAUGGCACAAUAAGCAAAACACUGCUUCAGAUGUGGCAAGAGAUAAUGAUAACUUAAUCUCAAGGCUGGGAGGAUAUUGCCUUUGGGUAAAUCCCAUAGAUUGCUUUUCAAUAUCUUCUCCCACUCCUCGACAUCUCUUUUGGUGCGCAGCAGACCUCCGAGUGUUUUUGCAGCUAGAGGAAGGCCUUUACACUUUCUCACUAUUUCUCUUCUAAUUUCUUGCAACUCUUCAUGAGCAGUGGGAUUUUCACCACGAAAUGCAUGUUUGGCAAACACGGACCAGCAGUCUUCUUCCGUCAAUUCUUCUAGAUGAUGAGUUCGAACAGUUCUCAUGACUGAUGCUACACUUUCAUUGCGUGUUGUGACAAGAAUCUUACUCCCUUGUGCUCCGUACUUCAGGGGGGUAAGAAACCUAUCCCAUUCAUCAUAAUCUUCAUUCCAAACGUCAUCUAAAACAAGCAAAAAUCUCUUCCCCUGCAAUCUCUUCUUCAACUGAAGCUGGAGAUUAUUCAGACUAUCAGAAUCAGACUUUGAACCGACCUCCUCAAGGAUCACCUUGGUUAACCUCAAAACACUGAAAUCUUCUGAAACACAAACCCAGGCUUUGAGACCGAACCACUCUUGUACUUCGCUGCGAUUGUAUACAAGCUGAGCAAGCGUGGUUUUACCAACCCCGCCCAUUCCCCAUAUGGGAACCACACCUGGGUUUUCUCCACUGGCAUCGUCUGGUUGAAGCAACCUCAGUAUUGCUUCCCUGUCAGCAUCUCUACCAUCAACACAAGAUUCAUCCACCAGAGAAGUUGUUGGUCUUUUAGGCGAUGAUGGUCUUUCUACAUUGCGGUUGAUCAAGCCAAGGGCAUUCAUUCGUUCAACUAAGGGAUCUAGAUCCUGCAAGAGGACUUUUAAUUUUUCUUCGAUCUCUCCCCACCCCAAUUUUUCAAGUGGGUUAAUGAAAGAAAGAACCCUCUGCGUCUGACCUGUGAAGGUUUGAUCUUCAGCUUCCAACUCCUGCCGUAGAGCUUCAUAAGCAAUCUCAUCCAAGAGGUCGUCGGCUUUAUAGACAGCGUCUUUAAGCAGGUCCAGCCAAUCCCGCACAGCUCUGUUUGUUAUCUGCUUCUCCUCAGCAUCGUCAAGCACCACCCUGAGAGAUGUCAUUGCUGUCUCCAACCUCGUUAGCAGCCUAUCCUUGACUUUUUGGCCUCUGAAGAAGGCAACCACCUGGGGAGAGGCCAUCCUGUCGAACAAAACAUUAAGGAAAGAAGAAAGUAAAGCUCCUCCUACUAAAGCCCCGGCCAUGGUUUCUCCUCUUUG